rfam:Coccidioides immitis RS mitochondrial scaffold supercont3.7, whole genome shotgun sequence.
GAAACUAUUAAGGAUAAUUAGCUAUAUAUUAAAGAAAGAUAGAAUAAUUCUAAAUUCUAAAAUAAAUUAAAUAAAUAAAUAAAGUGAAUUGAAAUAUCUUAAUAACUUUAAAAAAAAAAAAUCAAACGAGAUUCUAAAUUUAAUGUAAAAUUAAAAUUAGAGAAGUUUAUAAGUAAAAUGGAUGAUAUCUGUUUGAAUAAAGGGGAACCUUCCUCUAAAACUAAAUAUAAUAUAUAAGCGAUAGAGAAAAGUACCGUGAGGGAAAAUUUGAAAUAGUAGUUUUAUAAGCAGCUCAGAGUAAAAUUUUGAAUAAAUAAUAUGAGCGUACCUUUUGUAUAAUGGGUCAGUAAGUUAUAGUUAGAAGCAAGCAAAAAUUAAUAAUAUUUUGCCUAGAUAAACCAAUUAUGAAAAAAUGAUAAAGUUUCUAAUUAUAGACCCGAAGACUAGUGAUCUUACUAUGAUCAGGAUUAUAAAAGUCCGAACGGGUUAUCGUGGUAAAGAUAUCCGAAGAAUCAUUGUAAGUUCGUGAAAGACAAAACAGACUAGUAUAGCUGGUUUUCCGCGAAACCUAUGUAAGUAGGUAAUUUAAUUAACAUCUUAGCAGGUACAGAACUGUGAUCUCGAGCAAAAAUUUUUGUUUACAUCGGGGAAUCGUGUUGAUUUUAUCGGAGAGUAUUUGCACUCGGAAGGGCAAAGAUGAAUAUUAAAUAAUCAGACAUAGUGCGAUAAGGUUGUAUGUCUAAAAGGGAAACAGCCCAGAACAAGUGUUAUAAGGUUCCAAAAUUAUUGUUAAGUGAAAUUAAGGAUGUUUUUUUCAAAAACAAUCAGGAAAUAGGCUUAGAAGCGGCCAUUUUUUGAAGACCUACCGGAUGAUGUUGGAUAUCAUCUAUGUGGGAUAAACUAUCAAACUCCGGGGAACCCCUAAAGCUUCUGGUACCAAGCCACAAUCGAAAGAUUGUGAGUGGCUGAAGUAAUUACUCAGAUAUGGUAACAAGUCAGAAGAUGAUCGAAAGAUAAAUGGGAUAUCGCGGAUCUAAGUCAGAUGUAAUUACAUCUGUAAAAGAGCAACGAGUAGACGGUAGUUGACACGAAAGGUUUCCUUCUGUGUUUAAGGUGUACUCUAAUGGAUUUCGAAAGAAAUUAUCGAGUCAGAAUCCUUUCUUAGUAAAGAGACAAAUAAUAAAUACUAUACAUAAAAGAGACUUUAAAAGUUUUAGUACUGUAUCAACUGUAACAAAAUUACCUGGUUGAUGAGUAGCUGGAUUUGUAGACGUUGAAGGUUGUUUCCGUAUUUCUAUAAUUAAAAAUAAGAAUUACAAAGGGAACCCUUGACUUCCAGAUCUUUAUAGUGAAAAUAAUGGAUUGGGUGGUACUAUCCCUCUAUCUGUUAGACUUUAUUUCCAAAUAGGGUUACACUUAAAAGAUGAAAAGAUUUUAAAUUUAAUUCAAUCCACAUUAGGGGGUUGGAAAGGUUUAUAUAUCUACAAGUCGUCCAUAUUCAGUUGAAUUACAAGUAUCUUCUUUUAAGGAUAUGUAUGCUAUUAUAGCAUUUUUUGAUAAAUAUCCUCUAAUUACUCAAAAGUGUACUGAAAAGCCUAAUAAAGAGCAUCUUACUAUAGAAGGUUUAAUAAAAUUAGUGGAAAUAAAAGCUUUAAAGGUCUUCCUGAUCUAUUAAAAGAAGCUUUCCCUAAACUUAAACUUAAUACAGGUAGAUGUAAAAUUAUUAAAGAAAUACCUGAUCCUAAUUGAAUAGCUGGUUUUGCCAGUGGUGAAGGAUGUUUCAUGGUUAGAUUAUUUAAAUCUACUAGUUAUGCAAUAGGUUAUCAAACACAAUUAAAAUUUCAAAUAACUCAACAAGCUCGAGAUAAGUAUUUAAUGGAGAGAUUAGUUAGUUAUUUAGAUUGUGGUUAUAUUUCUGAAGGUGGAGAUUUUUCAAGUAACCAAAUUUACGGAAAUUGUUGAAAAAAUAAUUUGAAAAGUACCAGAUAAUAGGAGUUAAAUUGGAUAAUUAUCAUGACUUUAAACUUAUAAGUGACAAAGAUCACUUAACAGAUGAAGGUUUAGAAAAAAUUAGACUAUUAAAAUCUAAUAUGAACACAUUUAGAGAUAUUAACUAAGGUUAAUCUUUAUUUGCAUAGCCUUAUAGACAUUAAGGUUAAUACCUAUCCUCAAAGUAUAGUGUGGAAAUAUUUAGGUUUUAGUAGAUCAAUCUAAUAAUAUGCAAGUAUUAUAUGUUUCAUAAAUUAUAUGAUAAAUCUGAUGGUUAUGCGUAACAGAGCACUGAUUAAUUUUAGAAAAAAACACCGAAAAUAUAACGGAUCUAAACAAUAUACCGAAACCUUGUACGUAUAUAAAAUAUAAAAUAUAAAUGUUCUAUAUACGGGGUAGCGGAACAAUGGAUAUAUCUUAGAUUAAUUCUAUUUAAGACUUAAAAUAAAGAUAAUCCAAGAGAGAAUGCUGACAUGAGUAACGAAAAAGGAAUAAAUUUCCUCGCCUUAAGCUUAUGGUAUUUUAUUUAAAUUUCGGUAUCUAAGUUAAAUCUAUAAUAAUAUUAAUUUAUUAUUAAACCCAAAGGGGAUAUUUAAAUUAAAAACGAUGAAAAAGAGAAUAAUUGUUUACAUAACCUUUAUUAGUGAUAAAGGUUCAGGAAAAUAUAACAAUUAAGUUUUAUAUUCUCACUUAAGUAAUUAAGUUAAUAAACCGUACCUAAAUACUAACACAAGUAAGCAAGUAGAGAAUACAAAGGCGUUUGAGUGAACAAUCCUUAAGGAACUCGGCAAAUUGACUACCGUAACUUCGGAAUAAGGAGGGCCAUUAUUCUUGAUAAAAAUUUUUGAUAUAUCAAGUAAAUAAGAGGAAGCAUAAAAUAAUGUUGUACGACUGUUUAAUAAAAACAAAGCACUCUGCAAAGAUUAAUAAUCAAAGUAUUGAGUGUGAUGUCUGCCCAAUGUCGGCUGGGUAACGAAUUUACUUAAUUGUAAAAUUAGGUUUUGAAGGAUACCCCGAUUAAUGGCGGUCUUACCUAUAAGGAUCCAAAGGUAGCGAAAUUCCUUGGCCGUUAAAUGCGGUCCUGCAUGAGUAAAAUUUGAGUUUAGGUAACUCGAAAAAUA